rnacentral:rRNA from 1 species
GAUGAACGCUAGCUACAGGCUUUACACAUGCAAGUCGAGGGGUAACAAGAGGAAAGCUUGCUUUUCUUGUUGACGACCGGCGCACGGGUGAGUAACGCGUAUCCAACCUGCCUAUAACUAGGGAAUAACCUUGCGAAAGUAAGACUAAUACCCUAUGAUUUCCUUUGAUGACAUCAGAUUAGGAAUAAAGAUUUAUCGGUUAUAGAUGGGGAUGCGUCUGAUUAGCUUGUUGGCGGGGUAACGGCCCACCAAGGCAGCGAUCAGUAGGGGUUCUGAGAGGAAGGUCCCCUACAUUGGAACUGAGACACGGUCCAAACUCCUACGGGAGGCAGCAGUGAGGAAUAUUGGUCAAUGGGCGGAAGCCUGAACCAGCCAAGUAGCGUGCAGGAUGACGGCCCUAUGGGUUGUAAACUGCUUUUAUACAGGAAUAAAGUUAGCCACGUGUGGUUAUUUGUAGGUACUGUAUGAAUAAGGACCGGCUAAUUCCGUGCCAGCCGCCGCCGUAA